GUCACCGGAAUUAUUUAUCCGGAUUUUGAUUUUUAGUUCUUUCCGAUCUGAUGUUUUGAGAACGUAUUACAAACGUUAUAUGCAGCAUGUGCUCCUGAGCACUCGCGUAUCUGUUUACCUGUGUAAAAUGUAGAUCUUUAGUGUCUUGUUCACUUGAAACUGUUCCUGCACAGCUUUUCUUACCAUUUCAUCUUUACUCAAUAAAGUUUUGGAGUAUU